rnacentral:lncRNA from 1 species
AGGGAGAGGGAGUUCUCAUGUCGAGAAUCAGUUAGGAAAAAGCGAAGAUCGAGGGUUUAGCUUUGUAUAUUUUUUUUUUGGCUAAGUGGUAGCUAUAAGUCGCCCUAUGAAAAGACGGCUCUAUGAGUUGCUUUUCCAUAAGACGACUUUAUGAGUCGUCCUUCCAUACAGCGGCUCUUCUGUUGUUGACUCACUUUUCUAUAUGGCGUGGACUGUAGUGAGUUGGCAUAUAAAGUUGCUCUAUUACAG